UACGGAGAGUGCAAACGUUGUUCGGAUUCACUGGGCGUAAAGGGCACGUAGGCGGCUCGGCAAAUCGGUCGCGGAAUCUCGACGCUUACCGUCGAAACGGCGGCCGAAAAUACCGGGCUCGAGGGCGUGAGGGGUCACUGGAACUCCUGGUGAAGCGGUGAAAUGCGUAGAUAUCAGGAGGAACGCCGGAGGCGAAAGCGAGUGACUGGCGCGUUCCUGACGCUGAGGUGCGAAAGCUAGGGGAGCAAACAGG
rnacentral:rRNA from 1 species